rnacentral:rRNA from 1 species
CGCACUGGAGGUCCGAACCGACUAGUGUUGCAAAACUAGCGGAUGAGCUGUGGAUAGGGGUGAAAGGCUAAACAAACCUGGAAAUAGCUGGUUCUCUCCGAAAACUAUUUAGGUAGUGCCUUGAGUCACUACGUUAUGGGGGUAGAGCUACUGAGCUGGUUUGGGGCCCUUCCCAGGGUACCCUGCCUAUCCAAACUCCGAAUACCAUAACGACUAUCUCAGGAGUUAGUCCAUGCGGGAGAAGCUGCAUGGUCGAGAGGGAAACAACCCAGAUCGCCUGCUAAGGUCCCAAAAAUUUGCUGAGUCACAAAGGAUGUCUGAAUACUGUGACAGCCGGGAUGUUGGCUUAGAAGCAGCCACCAUUUAAAAAGUGCGUAAUAGCUUACCGGUCGAGUAUUCUGGCACCGAUAAUGAACGGGAGUAAGCAAAUUGCCGAAGCAGCGGGCUCGCAAGAGCGGUAGGAGAGCGUCCUGAAUGCGUUGAAGCGAUACCGUGAGGAUUCGUAGAGCGUUCAGGAGUGAUUAUGCCGGAAUAAGUAACGAUAAAGCAGGUGAGAAUCCUGCUCGCCGUAAGCCUAAGGUUUCCUGGGGAAGGUAAAUCCGCCCAGGGUUAGCCGGUCCCUUAGUCGAGGCCGAAAGGCGUAGACGAUGGAAAUCAGGUUAAUAUUCCUGAGCCUAUUGUGGGGGACGUUGGACGAAUGAAGAUCGGGGAGUUGGUUUUCCCCGUGCCGCAAGGCCGAGCGUAAGUGAAGUCUUCUGCAGUACAACCAAGAAAAGCCCACAUAAUAUGACCGUACUAAAACUGACACAGGUAGGCGAGGCGCGUAGCCUCAGGCGCUCGGGAGAACGCUGGUUAAGGAACUCUGCAAAUUGGCCCUGUAACUUCGGGAUAAAGGGUGCCAUCGAAAGAUGGUCACAGCAAAGCGGCACUAGCGACUGUUUACUAAAAACACAGGUCUCUGCGAACUCGUAAGAGGAGGUAUAGAGACUGACGCCUGCCCGGUACCGGUAAGUUAAUAAAGAGGGUUAGCUUUCGGGCGAAGCCCGCAAUUGAAGCUCCGGUAAACGGCGGCCGUAACUAUGACGGUCCUAAGGUAGCGAAAUUCCUUGUCGGGUAAGUUCCGACCUGCAUGAAUGGCGUAACGACUGGUGCACUGUCUCAAUCAGCGACCCGGUGAACUUGUAGCCGUGGUGAAGAUGCGGACUACGUGCACCCGGACAGAAAGACCCUAUGAAGCUUUACUGUAGCUUGGUAUUGUGCCCGGGCUCUGAAUGCGCAGGAUAGGUGGGAGGCUUUGAUCCAA